rnacentral:rRNA from 1 species
AACGUCCGCCAGGGUACUACAAGCGUCAGCUUAAAACCCAAAGGACUUGGCGGUGCCUUAGACCCCCCUAGAGGAGCCUGUUCUAGAACCGAUAACCCCCGUUAAACCUCACCACUCCUGGUCACCCCCGCCUAUAUACCGCCGUCGUCAGCUUACCCUGUGAAGGACCAACAGUAAGCAAAAUGGGCACAACCCAAAACGUCAGGUCGAGGUGUAGCGUACGAAGUGGGAAGAAAUGGGCUACAUUUUCUACAAUAGAAUAACACGAACAGCACUAUGAAAAGAGUGCUCAAAGGAGGAUUUAGUAGUAAAAAGGAAAUAGAGAGUCCUUUUGAACCCGGCUCUGAGGCGCGUACACACCGCCCGUCACUCUCCCCUGUCAAAUAGCACCAAACGGUACUUUAACACCAGAGCAUCGACAAGGGGAGGCAAGUCGUAACAUGGUAAGUGUACCGGAAGGUGCACUUGGACCAAACC